rnacentral:lncRNA from 1 species
GAAAGAUUAGACUUGCUGAGUCUUACUUACAGCCCUCAUCUUUUUUUUCUGUGCUGGAUGCUUUCUGCCUUCAAACACUGGACUCUAAAUUCUCGAGCUUUUGGACACUUGGAUUUACACAGGGCUCUCAGGCCUUCACCCACAAACUGAAGGCUACACUGUCAGCUUCCCUACUUUUGAGGUUUUGGGAUUCGGACUGGCUUCCUUGCUCCUCGGCUUGCAGCUGGCCUAUUGUUGGACUUCACUUUGGAAUCGUGUAGAAGUAUGAUAGUUGAACUUUAUUGUGCUCUAGAAAAAGCAAUAAACCCUUCUGCAAACUUCAUAAGAUAGCACAGUAAAAGGAACUCUACACCAAGAGGACAUUUUCCCUUCAAAAUAACAAAGCAGAACACAAAGUAAAUCAAAGCAUAUAAACGGAGAAAGGAAUUCCGUUGCCUUUGAAAUUGAACUCCAGAAAUAAUUUACUUAAAAAGAGUUCCUCAGAUAUAGCUUGAAGUCUAAAGACAAUCAUUGAUCAUCAACUGGUAUUCUCUUACUCCAUCAGCACUCCAGAUACAAAGCAAGAGAAAACCCAGAGUAAAAAAUUUAAAUGGACAAUAUUUCAUCUGCAACCUGGAAAGUCUUCUAUGCUUGCUGUUGUAUUGACUUUCCUACUUAUCUCAGAAAAUUGUGCAUUUAAUCAUCUCUCUCUAUUUUCUUUGACUCUUUUCCAGUGAGAGAGUAUAAGAUUGUUUACCUAAAGACCUCGAAGUCUAGCAAGAUAGGAAGCAAGUUGUUACUUAAGCAGGUUGGGGGGGCAUUAUGGGCACAAUGAAAAUUAAUCAUUGGUUCUCUUUGCCUAUCAAAAUACAUCGUUCACAUAGGACCCCUUUCCCCAAUAAAUUUAGAUCAUGCCUACUCUAGAAAAGGAAUCACAGCAUUGUCACUUCUUGAUGUUGUGAAGUAAUUUGUAAUGCGCAGAAAUGAUUUGAAUACAUGUCCCAACAGAGCUUUGUGAAGGAAACUCAAAGCUAUUCUGACAUAAUAGCAAAUGAUAGCAGAGAAGGGACUGAAGCACUGCAGCAAACCCAAAAUUGUUCCAAUAUUCAGCUGCUAGAACAAAAAAGAAAAGCCUCACUACUGAACCUUUUUCAUUUCGUAUAGCUGCUCAAAAUUUAGAAAACUCAUAGACCAUAAUCCAUUAAAACAGCAUCUAUUACAUCAAGUUCUAAUUGCUAAACUUGCUGGUAAAUCCUUGGGGUAAAGAGAUUGGAACUCUUCCAUUUUCAAUAAAGAUUAUUUGUAAAACUAAAAAAAAAUCCAUGAGACAAUCUGAUAGAUGUCUCAUUAUUCCUGAUCUGUGUUCUUUUUUAUUUCUUAGCCCUACCUCUACAACCGAUUAAAAUGCUUAGCCUAAAUACUUUCACCAUUUCAAAGAAACCACUACAAAAAGUGCUAUUUUUUGGCCGGGCGUGGUGGCUCACGCCUGUAAUCCCAGCACUUUGGGAGGCCAGGCGGGCGGAUCACGAGAUCAGGAGAUCGAGACCAUCCUAGCUAACACGGUGAAACCCUGUUUCUACUAAAAAAAUACAAAAACAUAAUUAGCCGGGCGUGGUGGCAGGUGCCUGUAGUCCCAGCUACUCGGGAGGCUGAGGCAGGAGAAUGGCGUGAACCCGGAAGGCGGAGCCUGCAGUGAG